UGAUGCGAAGACCUGCUCUCGAUGCACGAGUUCUUCCAUUGGCUAAGGAAAAGGGUAGUAGCCCGCUAAGAGUAGGGCACCUAAUCGAGAUCAACCGAUGCUUGUGGGCCCAUAUCUACAUAAAGCGUGGUUAGAAGAACAAGUAUAUACAUAAAGAAAAAAAUAAAUAGGAGACGUACCAGAAGCAGGUAAGUAAAGCCGUAUAAG
rnacentral:lncRNA from 1 species